ensembl:lncRNA
AAGCAACUUUCCAAUACAGUUCUCCAUCAUACAAGAAACUUAACAUCAUCAUCAUACACUGAGUAUACCAAACAUUAGGAACAACCCCACCCCCCCUUAGCCCUCAGAAUAGCCUCAGCUCAUCAGGGCAUGGACACUACAAGAUGUCAAAAGAAUUCCACAAGGAUGCUGGCCCAUGUUGACUCCAAUGCUUCCCACAGUUGUGUCAAGUUGGCUGGAUGUCCUUUGAGUGGUGCACCAUUUCUGAUACACACAGAAACAGUUGAGUGUGAAAAACCCUGCAACGUUGCAGUUCUUGACCCAAACCGUUGCGCUUGGCACCUACUACCAUACCCCGUUCAAAGGCACUUGAAUCUUUUGUCUUGCCCAUUCACCCUCUAAACAGCACACAAACACAAUCCAUGUCUCAAUUGUCUCAAGGAUUAAUAAUCCUUCUUUAACCUGUCUCCUCCCCUUCAUCUACACUGAUUGGAGUGGAGUUAACAAGAGACAUCAAUAAGGAAAAAGAGCAGGUGUUCUUAAUGUUUUGUACAGUCAGUGUAGUCUGAACAUCUUAAACCACCCUGAAUGAAUCAAAUAUAUAGCAAGUCUUACCUGUAGCAAAGACAACCAUAAUCCAUAGCUCCUUAAUCUCUGCUGUUUCCAGUCAUCCAGUGUCAGCAGACUGCACAUUAUUAGACCGUCUGUGGGUCUUAUGCUGCGCUCCACCUAUUACAGAGUCCGCAGUGACGUACAGGUACCAGUUAAUGAUUUAGUGUUGAAUUUAAGGGGAAAGUACUGUACAUUGGCUCCAACACAAUCAACAGGAUCAGUAAAGGCAAUGACACAAAUUCUUUGAAAAUAGAUCAGACAUUACUGGAUGAAUAAAUUAGACAUGGAUGGAUACUGGGAGGAUCAGUCAACCAAUAGAGUUACCCUUCUCUAUGCAAAACCUUAGUUGCAGCUGGGAAGGUACAGCACAUGUUUUGGUAAACAGACCUUUUUUGAACUAGAGCAUGUGUAAAAAACAAUGAUGGAACUGUCUUGGAGGUCUGGAUUAGAAUUUGAGGACACUAGAGGGUGUACUAGUGAGUUUCCCAAACUGGGUGGGUGUAGAAAAUUCCACAUAAGGCCCCCAAAAAGGCUAGGGCUGGCUCACUGCAUGUGUGGGAGCCACUACCCUCCUGAUGAGUUCUGAUUUUUUUGUGUGUUCCCCACUCCCAUCAAAGUUGUCCAUCACUGUUCUAGUUUGAAUUUCUACCAUAUUUAUUAUUCCAGUCAUUUCCAUUCAAAUCAGUGAACACUUGUGCUAACUUGUGGAGGAAGGAGAGAUAAUUGGAACAUAUGUCUAAGACUGGAGGUACAGUAACUAGCGUACUAUCCGUUGGGGGACAGAUUAUGGCAGCCAGCUCCAUAGGUCAGGAUGAGAUAUAAGAGGAUGGGUUUCUAAAGGCAGCAGGACAGGUCAACAUUAAACCCUGGAGUCUCAGAUAGACAACUCAAGUCUUAAUCUGUCCACAGGCUCCAGAGCCAGGAGAUGAGAUAAUGGAGGUGAGGGUUUACCAGGUAGAUGACAGGACAGCCUAUUGGCCCUAAUGGAGGUGAGGGUUUACCAGGUAGAUGACAGGACAGCCUAUUGGCCCUAAUGAAGGUUAGAGGGUUUACCAGGUAGAUGACAGGACAGCCUAUUGGCCCUAAUGGAGGUGAGGGUUUACCAGGUAGAUGACAGGACAGCCUAUUGAUCCUAAUGGAGGUUAGAGGGUUUACCAGGUAGAUGACAGGACAGCCUAUUGGCCCUAAUGAAGGUGAGGGUUUACCAGGUAGAUGACAGGACAGCCUAUUGGCCCUAAUGAAGGUUAGAGGGUUUACCAGGUAGAUGACAGGACAGCCUAUUGGCCCUAAUGAAGGUGAGGGUUUACCAGGUAGAUGACAGGACAGCCUAUUGGCCCUAAUGAAGGUGAGGGUUUACCAGGUAGAUGACAGGACAGCCUAUUGGCCCUAAUGAAGGCUCAAAGGCUGAACUCCUCAUUGCUAAAAAAAAAAAAAAAAAAACACUUUAUUGAACUGUCACUUUAUUCCCUUUAACAGUGGGCAAAAUGUAUAGCAGUUCUCUAAGAAUGUACCCCUAAAUGAACCUUAUGAAACAAAUGAACCUUGAAUUAUUGAAAUUAGCAUACAUAAGUGACAGUGAAUAUGCUCAGUGUUUUCAUAAACAUCUCUAUUUAUAUGCACAAUAAUGAGGAAGACUGGUGAACAGUUUGGAUGGAACGUUCCACUGCCAUAAUAAAUCCUCAUUUAGAGGAAGAGUUUGGCGCCACCACAUGGCAGUUGAAGGUAGACACAGAGGCUGCUUCAAAAUCAAAUAAAAUUGUACUUGACACAUGCUUCUAAUCAGCAGGUGUAGACUAUCAGCAGCGGUGCCUGGGUAAAAUCACUGGUGAAGCCAAACCCCCCCCCAACAAAAAAAGGCCAUAUUACAACCUGUGUUGUGGUAAUUGUGCUAUAACCCAAUUCAUAUGCUUUGCGACCGUGAUAUAUAGGUCUAAAGGCCGAGACAAUAAGAAGACAAAGUGGCAGAAUAAAUUCAACCACACCUUUGUUUUAUCACAAAACCAGAUUGCUCUGUCCAAUGAAGUCCACAAAGCAUAUUGCGUGUACAGUAACAGGCAGUUACAUGACCUACGGCAUUAUCAAGCAAGUUAAUGUUCCAACAUUUUAUGACCAAUAAACAACUAUUGAAUUAGAACCAGUGUUAUCGCAAAUCGCAAAGAAAACGGGAGCUGCCUCCACUAUUCCAGCACCAUUUCAACUUCAACAUUUGAUCAUUGAAUCACCUCUGCUUUGUCUAAUACAGUCACAACAAAAAGAUACCAAAACAAUUUAGUCCAAUCAAUGUAAGCUAAAUAUGAUGUGGCUGUCCUGGUUUGAUUUCUGUGUGCAAGUAGAAAAACAUGUUGACUCACCCUACUUGUAGAAAAACGCCAAUGCCAUCCUCCUCUUUCAUGUUGAGGACACGGUCUUAUCACUCGGUCAUACAGCAGUCCACGCUUUUAUUUGUUUGUUGUCCUAGGCUACCUGGCUAAAAUGCUUGUUCGCUAGCCUAACUUCAAUUCGAGGCAACAUUAGCCUUCUAACGUUACAUCUAACGUUACUGUAGCUACAUAUUGAACUUCCAUCCUCUCAGGCCAGUGGCACAACAAUGUAUGAAUUAAUGGUUGGAUCAGAAUCACCAUUACGGAGGAUAAAUAAAACAACAAGUCCAAAUCCCUAUCUCCAUCCAUGGAUAAUUUAGGAAAGGGCCACCGGGGGACAACAACACAACGAAAUGCAAAAAUGCAAGUUUAUCUGUCAAUGACGUAUGCUGUCAAUGGCGGAGUGAAGGAGUGACGCCAAAAUCCAAGCUUGCUUUCCGUGACACUUGUUUUUGGUGAGCCAGUAUGGAGCCAGAUAGCAUCGUUAGGAUAGUAAGAAAAUCCAUAUGUAAAUUGUUAGGCUCAUAAGAAAUGUGUGAAACGUAAACAUGACAUUUCAUCUGUGAACAUAUGAACACCACGUUACGAUUAGACUAACAUUUUAGGCUUGAACAAAUCUGACAUAUAAUCGUACCUUUCAGAGUUUUGUCAGUUUCAUCUGAAUUUAUGAAAUUGCUUCUUCCAAUUAUUGAUAAACAUCCACUUGUUAAGAAACGAACUGUUAGAACUGUUAAGGCUCCAUGGAUUGAUGAGGAAGUGAAAAACUGUAUGGCUGAAAGAGAUGGGGCAAAAGAAGUGGCUAAUAAGUCUGGCUGUACAUCUGACUGGCUGAUUUACUGCAAAUUGAGAAAUUAUGAGACUAAACUCAACAAAAAGAAGAAUAAACUUUAUUAUGAAGCCAAAAUCAAUGAUAUAAAGAAAUGUGGAGUACUUUAAAUUAAAUGGGCAGAAAAACAAAUUCAUCUCCAUCUUUCAUUGAAUCCGAUGGCUUAUUCAUCACAAAACUAUUUGAUGUUGCCAAUUAUUUUAAUGAUUAUUUCAUUGGCAAAGUGGGCAAACUUAGGCAGGAAAUGCCCACGACAAACAGUGAGCAAUUAUAUUCAUGCAUAAAAAACGAAUAAUGAAAUAAAAGCAGUGCAAGUUUGAAUUUUGUAAAGUCAGUGUGGGAGAGGUGGAAAAAGUAUUGUUAAUGGCCAAUAAACUCCUGGUUCAUCAGCAACCACAGCUAAUGAAGUCACUGAAACCAUUAACAAAGAGUUGCAGUCUGUUUUGGAAUGGGUGGCCUGUUAUAAACUGGUCCUGAACAUCUCUAAAAAUAAGAGCAUUGUAUUUGGUACAAACUAUUCCUUAAGUGCUAGACCUCAGCCGAAUCUGGUAAUGAAUGGUGUGGCUGUUGAACAAGUUGAGGAUACUAAAUUACUUGGCGUUACCUUAGAUUGUAAACUGUCAUGGUCAAAACAUAUAGAUUCAAUGGUUACAAAUAUGGGGAGAGGUCUGUAAUAAAGAGAUGCUCUGCUUUUUUGACACCACACUCCAAAAAGCAAGUUCUGCAGGAUCUAGUUUUGUCUAAUCUUGAUUAUUGUUCAGUUGUGUGGUCCAGCACGGCAAGGAAAGGCCUAGUUAAGCUUUAGCUGGCCCAGAACAGAGCGGCACGUGUUGCUCUUAAUUGUAAUCAGAGGGCUAUAUAAAUAUAGAUACUAUGCGUGCCAGUCUCUCUUGGCUAUGACUUGAGGAGAGAUUGUCUGCAUUGCUUCUUCUUUUUUAUAAGAAACAUUAAUGUGUUGAAAAUCCCAAAUUGUUUGCAUUGUCAAUUUACACACAGCUCUGACACACACACUUAUCACACCAGACAUACCACCAUGGGUCUUUUCAUAAUCCCCAAAUCCAGAACAAAUUCAAAACAUACAGUAUUAUAUAGAGCCCUUAUUGCAUGGAACUUCCUUCCAUCUCAUAUUGAUCAAAUAAACAGCAAACCUGGUUUCAAAAAACAGAAAGCAACACCUCUCCCCUAUUGGACCUAGAUAGUUUGUGCGCAUGCAUUGAUAUGUAGGCUACGUGUGCCUUUCUAAAAAUGUAUGUAGUUCUGUCCUUGAGCUGUUCUUGUAUGAUGAUGUUCUGUAUUAUGUUUCAUGUUUUGUGUUGAACCCCAGGAAGAGUAGCUGUUGCUUUUGCAACAGCUAAUGGGGAUCCUAAUAAAAUAAAACCAACAAAAAAUGUUAAGCCUGUGAGGAGCGCUACGUGAACAAGCAUAACACAGUAAAAAAAAAAACAGAAGUCAGGGAAACCAGAAAGAGGUAUUUUGCACAUGUUCAAGUCUCAUUCUCCCACCGGAGUAGCAAUAUGUGUGAGAAGAGCAAUCUGUGUGAGAAGAGCGACAUGGUGCUGGUCCGCCUAAUUAUCAUGUAAGGAUUGUGUUGUCCAAUUCAACUGAGGAGUAAUAAUUACUUCACAUUUUGGUAGCUAAUGUAAAUCUAGAUAGCACUAGCUAGCUAAUGACACGAAGCUAGCUAACUAACUAGCUUACACAGUCAAUCUCUGCUCAUGGCAUAUGAUAUGGCCUAGCUAGUUAGCUCAUGUCACUGACAAAAAAUACACUUUGUUGUGCAAGGAGUAAGCCUGUGUCAAGCUAGCCACUGUUUAACUACCAAAUACCGUUAUGGUUAUUGGUAGCAAGCAAGGAGGAGAACCUUUCCUGUCCACAAGGUUGCCCUAGUCAAGGACUCACAUCCAGUACCUAGAUAUAGUAAUAAGUUAUUGAUUGUCGUUAUUCGUUUUUCUAUUGAGUUAUCAAAGAGUAACUAAGUUAGCUCGCUAACGUGCUGACCAGACCGCUCGCAUGUUGAUUUUGUCCACCCACACCAGACGUGAUCAGGACAGGCAGGUUGAAAUAUCAAAACAAACUCUGAACCAACUAUAUUAGUUUGGGGUCAGGUCGAAAAGCAUUAAACAUGUAUGCCAAUUUAGCUAGCUAAUUUGCCCUGGGAUAUAAACAUUGGGUUGUUAUUUUACCUAAAAUGCACAAAAUUCUCUUCUCCGACAAUUAAUUCACAGAUAAAAGUUUGUUUCUGGUAAUCUCUCCUCUCAACCAAGCAUUACCACUACCGACUGGAAUGUGAACCUCAGUUCAUCUUUCAAUCACCCAUGUGGGCAUAUGCUCCUAAAAACCAAUGUGGAGAUGGCGCAUGGGUGUAUGCUCCUAAACCAAUGAGGCAAUGGGAGAGGCGGGACUUGCAGCAAAUCAAGCAUCACAAAUAGAACCAAGUUCUAUUUUAGCGCCUGGUUAUACAGACGCUCGUUGACGCGUGCGAGCAGUUUGGAUGCAAUGAUUGAAUAACAUGUAUGUGUAUGUAUUUUGCAACGCUCGCGCAGCAUGUCAGUUGCUUUGCAGCUUCCAGUUUAAUUUCCAAAAUAAAAGUCUAGAGGUUGUUUUAGAACUGAAUUAGGUAACGACUUUAUACCAGUAGAUGGCGUAGUAUAGGCUUGGGCUUUCAGCAAAUGACUUGUGUGAGAAUAAUACUAUAAAGACACAGAAGAGUCUUGUCUAGAAUAACCACCUGAGCGGCAAAAUAGAAAGUAAAUAUGAUUUAGACUAGGCCUAUUCUGCUCACUAAAUAUGCAAUGCUGUUGUGUUAUUUAAUGGCCAUAUAACUACAUAAUUUAUUUGUAUAGCUGCUUGAGACUACUGUGGUGAUCAACCAAAAGGUUGCGAGAUCAAAUCCCUGAGCUGAGAAGGUAAGAAUCUGUCAUUCUGCCCCUAAACAAGGCAAUGUUCUAGGCCAUCAUUGAAAAUAAGAAUUUGUUCUUAACUUACUUGUCUAGUUAAAUAAAAAAAUGUAAUUUUUUUCCCCAGUAUUUGGGAGCAUGGACAGUAGGCCUUGUAUUAGGCAUUUUGACUGUUGUAUUUGUAAGUUCCACUCUGUAUGUAGGCUUGUACACAACCCCAUUAUGCAGAGGCUAUAUCCAUAUCAAUGAAUGAGACAAAAAAAAUAUUGAUUAAGUCUUGGCUAUAACCUGUCUUGAGUGAAAUAGUCUUGACCAUUUGGGAUCCCUUGGCUAUCUAUAGCCUGUUCUUAUUGGCAGAUCUGUUUUCCUUAUCAGCCACUGCAUGUGCUUCUUCAACUAUUUUGGAAAUGUUUUAUUUAGAAACUUUUUCUAGAGGGCUGUGAGGGGAGGCCUAUUAUUAAAACAGUUAUAAAACACAGAGUUCUAAAAUUAUUCCGCAAAACAACAGUACCCAAAAUGAUAGCCUAAAUUGCAAUGCCUACAAGUUGAAGGCCUAUUUUUUUCAGAAAUAUAGGCCUAAAUUAAACAUUGAAUUAUUAAAGUGAUAGGCUAAAGAACUUUGAAGAAUACAUUAUUUCAAUAAACAAAUGGAUGACUGUUCUAUUCUCAUCAAUUUAGUUCCUAUUGCAACUCAGACAAAUGACAUAAUUGAUGACAUACUGAUUGACUGAACUGAAUGAAGGAUUAAUUAAAUGUUCAAAAUGUUGGAAUGAUGAGUUGUGCGCAUCAUGCAUGCUCCACACUUUAUUUGGCUAGUAGGCAAAUCAAAUUGUAUUAGUCACGUGACGAAUACAACAGGUGUACAAUGCAGUUAAAAAAAUACGGAUAAGAAUAAGAAAUUUAACUUGUGUGUAUGAGGUAAUAGUGGUGGAAUUGUUAGGUUAGAUUACUCGUUGGUUAUUGCUGCAUUGUCGGAACUAGAAGCACAAGCAUUUCGCUACACUCGCAUUAACAUCUGCUAACCAUGUGUAUGUGACACAUACAUUUUUAUUUGAUUUGAUGUUGGAUGAGGCGGGUUGCAGGAAGGUAUAUUUAAUUUGAAAAUGGAAAAAGAGAUUUAAAUACAGAAAAUAUUUAGACGGGACAAAGACAAACACGUCUUGCUUGGAUUGGAAAUCAUCUAAUUGAUUGGCUGCAAGUUCAACCUGUCAAUAUAGCUCAUAGACCGAGAGCAUGGUUGCAUCACUGUCUGGUACGGCAACUGCUCGGCCUCCGACCGCAAGGCACUACAAAGGGCAGUGCAAAUGGCCCAGUACAUCACUGGGGCCAAGCUUCCUGCCAUCCAGGGCCUCUAUAGCAGGCAGUGUCAGAGGAAGGCCCUAAAAAUUAAUUAUAAAAGACUCCAGCCACCCUAGUCAUGGACUGUUCUCUCUGCUACCGCACGACAAGCGGUACCGGAGCGUCAAGUCUAAGUCCCCUCAUGUGCCUGACAUGCCUCCUCUACACUGUCUAAAGCUAUUUUCUGAGACAUUGUGUAAAAUGAAAUCAAAUUUAUUUCACUAAGAACACAAACAUUUUAAUUCUCACUAAGAAUACUGAAACAAGAGAAUAAUCAGAUUUAUCCAAAACAGUCAACAUUCAUAAAGAACAUAGGUACAUAAAGUAUUUACAAACAUGUGCAUGGUCAAAACAUUUUUGGACAAUAACACUUUUGAUAGAUAUAAAUGGUGUGCGUAUAACUAUAGGCAAUAAUGGAGGUCUAUGAGAUAUUGACAGGUUGAACUUGCAGCCAAUCAAUUAGAUGAUUUCCAAUCCAAGAUGGCGUAGCAGCAAGACGUCUUUGUCCCGUGUAAAUAUUUUCUGUAUUUCAAUCUCUUUUUCCAUUUUCAAAUGAAAUAUACCUUCCUGCAACCCACCUCACCCAACAUGGUACGGAUCUGCUAUUUUUUUUUAGACCUUGUAACUGGAACCUCAAUCGGAAGCUAGCCUUCAGAACCUGGCCAGCUAAUUAGCUACUAGUUAUUUAGUCAUUGUUAGCCACUGCUAGCAGUCUUUACCUUUAGCACAGACACCAGCCACUUUAACCCGGAUAAUAUCUGCCAGUGGCACAAACUUCGUCAGGGAAAUGACCUGACCAAGGUGCAGCGUUGUGAGCGUACAUUUUCUUUAUUAAGAGGCAGCUCAACUGAGCAGUUGACAACCAAAUUAAAUUAAACAUAUGCAUUUUAUUUACCAUAUUUUAUCAUGCCAUUUAUUACAAUUAUCAUGUGGUUCUCAUUAUUGGACUGCUAUUUUUUUUACACAAACAUUCAUAGAUGUGCAGGUGAGCGAAGACAUGAACGUGAGCAAAUCCUAUCCUGAUUGAUCACACUUUUUCAGUACUACUUGUGUUUAAAACAGGAUAUGACAUCACAGUACAAUGUUGCUGACCUCAAGCAUAAUUUUGGUAUCAUGAAAUUACUGAUAUGUUGUUAUUUAUUAAUUUGAGGAACUCUUGAAAAAUAUAGCUCUACCUGGCAGUUGAGAUGCCCAUUAAAGGAAUGCUAUUUAGACAAAGCUAGCUAUUAUGGACAAUGAAGAAAUAUU